AUUUCUUUAAGCUUCAAAUCUUUUCACCCUGGCCUCAGGCUCUUGCACAGUUUGCUAAAGAAAUUCUGUCAAUUCACCUCAUUUUACCUGCUCAUGACCUGUGACUGGCUGACUCAAGUUUUUGAAUCACUCUCACAGCUGCUUGGCACUGCCUCUUUCAUGACGGCCUUUGAAACCCAGGUGCCUGAAAAAGCAGAAAGAAUUCUGUCUGAAAACAUCUUUCAUCUGCCUAUGUUUGCUGUGGUCAUCGCACAGCUAGAAGCAAUGCUCAAGCCUUUGGAAACUAAAACGUACCUUCCCGAAAUGAUGACUUGAUCAAGUUACACAGAGUUUUGAAAGUGAGAGGCCUGGAUUGAAAUUCCAGCUCUGUCACCAGGGGCAAUUUUCAUUAUUCAUUCCGCAUAAAGACCAAAAUGCAAGGUGCAAAAUCAUCUAAAUAGUUAUCCUCAAAUAAUUGGAUAACAAUCAAACAUUUUUUUAAAGUAUAAUUUAAGAAUCAAAGGAUUCUUCAAUAGGAUAAAGCAUUCCUAUUUUGAAUCAAAAAUCAGCACUGAUAAAGUAAGUUCAAAAUUAGGAACAGGGACUUCCCUGGCAGUCUAGUGGUUAAGAUUUUGUGUUUCCAAUGCAGGAGGUUCAGAUUCAAUCCCUGAUCAGGGAACUAAAAGCCUGCAUACUUCGAGGUGAAGCCAAAAAAUAAAUAAAAAAUAAAAGUAAAAAACA
rnacentral:tRNA from 1 species